UACGGAGGGUGCAAGCGUUAUCCGGAUUCACUGGGUUUAAAGGGUGCGUAGGCGGGCAGGUAAGUCAGUGGUGAAAUCUUCAAGCUUAACUUGGAAACUGCCAUUGAUACUAUCUGUCUUGAAUGUUCUGGAGGUUAGCGGAAUAUGUCAUGUAGCGGUGAAAUGCUUAGAUAUGACAUAGAAUACCUAUUGCGAAGGCAGCUAACUACGGAAAUAUUGACGCUGAGGCACGAAAGCGUGGGGAUCAAACAGG
rnacentral:rRNA from 1 species